UACGGAGGGUGCAAGCGUUGUCCGGAAUCAUUGGGCGUAAAGCGCACGUAGGCGGCUCUUUAAGUCUCUUGGUGAAAGGCUGGGGCUCAACCCCAUGCAUGCCGGGGAUACUGGAGGGCUGGAGACAGGUAGAGGCCAGCGGAAUUCCGGGUGUAGCGGUGGAAUGCGUAGAGAUCCGGAAGAACACCGGAGGCGAAGGCGGCUGGCUGGACCUGAUCUGACGCUGAGGUGCGAAAGCGUGGGGAGCGAACAGG
rnacentral:rRNA from 1 species